AAUGGAUUAAGUCACCUCGGGAGUGGGUCAGUUAUUGAGAGAGUGGGUUGUUAUAAAAGCAAGCCUAGUCCCUCAUGCUUUCCCUUUUAUACUCACUUACCCUUCUGCUCUUCUGCUGUGGGAGAAUGCAGCAUAAAGGCCCACACCAGAUGCCUGUGCCAUCCUGUUGAACUUCAUAGCCUCCAGAAUGAUCCUGAAUUCCAGCGGAAUGGCUGACAUCAACCAGUUUGAAGACCCUCACAGAAGAACCCAAUCAGCAUGAGAAUGCAGUUCCUUCAUCUUCCAUCCCAUAAUUUCACUUUGCACUCUUCAACCAAUCAACAGUCUCCAUACCUUGGCCCACUACUCUUUCAGACCCUUUAAAAUCCCUAGUCCCAGACUCCUCAUAGUGGCACAUUUGGGGUUUCCUCCCUUCUCCUCAUACAGCUGUUUACCAUUAAACCUCUUUCUGUG